CGUUGCCGCGGCAACGUUCAGAUCUCGCGAGAGUGAACUCUAGCCCUGCAAGCUAGAGUUCACUAUCACCACUAAGACAACCAGGGAUGGCAGCAAGGAUCCUCCCUCCCAGGCAAAAGGUAAGAAGGGAUGGGGGAUCCUUCUUACCUUUCCUAAUCUGUUCCCCCACCACCACACACAAUCACUCCAAACAAAUUCACACACACACUCUCACAGCACCAGCACCCUCACACACAGCACACUAACAGCACCC